GACGAACGCUGGCGGCGUGCCUAAUACAUGCAAGUCGAGCGAAUGGAUUAAGAGCUUGCUCUUAUGAAGUUAGCGGCGGACGGGUGAGUAACACGUGGGUAACCUGCCCAUAAGACUGGGAUAACUCCGGGAAACCGGGGCUAAUACCGGAUAACAUUUUGAACCGCAUGGUUCGAAAUUGAAAGGCGGCUUCGGCUGUCACUUAUGGAUGGACCCGCGUCGCAUUAGCUAGUUGGUGAGGUAACGGCUCACCAAGGCAACGAUGCGUAGCCGACCUGAGAGGGUGAUCGGCCACACUGGGACUGAGACACGGCCCAGACUCCUACGGGAGGUAGCAGUGGGGAAUCUUCCGCAAUGGACGAAAGUCUGACGGAGCAACGCCGCGUGAGUGAUGAAGGCUUUCGGGUCGUAAAACUCUGUUGUUAGGGAAGAACAAGUGCUAGUUGAAUAAGCUGGCACCUUGACGGUACCUAACCAGAAAGCCACGGCUAACUACGUGCCAGCCGCCGCCGUAA
rnacentral:rRNA from 1 species